UGUUCACACGUAAGAAAGAGACUUGUCCAGCUCAACUUUCCCCAAGCGCCCUAUUUCCAAGCUGUGGAUCUCUUCGUCCACUCUCCUGCCUGUUCUCACUGUCUUCCAAUUGGAAGCAGUGCAUCCUCUGCUCAGCCAUGGUCUUGCUGCUCCUCCUCGUGCUGAGGAUGUUUUUUCCCAUGAGAGACACUACAGCCCAGCUGGUGACGCAGCCUGAUGUCCAGAUCACUGUCACUGAAGGAGCCUCUCUGGAGCUCAGAUGUAACUAUUCCUAUUCCUAUACUUCAGCACCUUAUCUCUACUGGUAUGUCCGGUACCCUGGACUGGGCCUCCAGCUUCUCCUUAAGUACCUUUCUGGGGACACCAUGGUUCAAGGCAUCAAAGGCUUUGAGGCUGAAUUUAGGAAGAGUGAAUCUUCUUUCCAUCUGAGCAAACACUCUGUGCAUUGGAGCGACACAGCCUUGUACUUCUGUGCUCUGGGUGCCACAGUGUCUGGGGCUGCAAGGGAAGCUGAGCACAAACCACCUGUGACAGUAGAGUUUCCAGAGACUGAAGGCCUCACCCAUUGUCUCUGAAUGAUCUCUUGCUUUCUGAUGGCAAAUGGGAGAAGGAGGGAUGGGCAGGUACAGAGACUUGUACACAAUGCUACAGAUCCUUCGGCAAUAGUAUAUGUUCUAUGAGCUUUAUUUCAGAAGUGUUUACUCAUUGUGAAAGCUAUAUAAUACUAAAU